rnacentral:rRNA from 1 species
AUGAUGCCUCUAUUCAAGCCUAUGGUUUUAGCAAAGGAUUGGAAAUUGAACCACUAUUCCUUAUAUGUCAUGAAUCGGUACCGAAGUAGCGUUGACAUUCUUGACUCUUUACCUUAUCCGAAGAACUCCCGUCCUUCAAAGCAAACCUAUCAUAAAUACUGCAAGAAGAUUUACAAUGCGAGCAAGCAGCCCAAUUGGGAGCUGUUUGCAAAGAAACCAACAUUUGUCAAGGUUCCACUUCAAGGGGAAAAUGAAUGUGGCCAUUAUACUCUGAAGUAUGUGGGAUCCUAUGAUGGUGAAAAGAUCGUUGAGAACAUUUGA